rnacentral:sRNA from 1 species
GUGCGGAGCGCGCGCGCGCGCGGCUCGGAGGCGCACCUGUGAGGUGUCCCUAAGGAGAGGGAGGGCGCCCUGCGUCCGGCAGAGGAGGCGAGCAUCCCGCUCAGGUGAUGAGGAACUCCUCGCGUAACCAGUGCAGAAGGCUGCUGCCGCCGGACGCCUCCAUUGUUUGACCACAACAAGGGCCGGAUUCUCACCCAGGAUCCUAAGGCCUUUGUAGUCCUUCAGCCACUGUGGGCCCUGCCUCUGCCUGUUCUUCUGGAAUGUCUUGGGGGUUUUGAUCCUGUCACUGUGGUGACUGACCUAUUUAGAAGCGGGGGCAAGUGGACCCUGGCACAAGGGCAAAUGUUCUCUCUUCUCUGUCUCUUUCUGGCUGCAUUCUUUCCUGUGCUGAUUUGGGUAACCUCGGCCAGUCUUUAUCAUGAGUGACCUGCAAAUCCAAGAGACACAUUUCUGGAAGAUAAGAGAGCUUCUUCAAGACCAAAAAAGGAGACGGCAUGAUACCCACGUAGGGAAUUCCCCAAAGCAAGGCUUGCCAAACCUGGACCCGAGGAGCCUGCUUGCUGGAAAGGCUUUCCUGUCUGAUGUGCAGG